rnacentral:rRNA from 1 species
CCUACGGGAGGCAGCAGUGAGGAAUAUUGGUCAAUGGGCGGGAGCCUGAACCAGCCAAGUCGCGUGAGGGAAGACGGUCCUAUGGAUUGUAAGCCUCUUUAGCCGGGGAGCAAUGCCGGGUACGCGUGCCCGGAGGGAGAGUACCCGCAGAACAAGCAUCGGCUAACUCCGUGCCAGCAGCCGCGGUAAUACGAAGGCUGAGAGAUUUAUCCGGAUUUAUUGGGUUUAAAGGGUGCGUAGGCGGAUUUUUAAGUCUUCGGUAAAAUGUCCGGGCUAAACCCGGGACGGCCGUGGAUACUGGGGAUCUAGAGUGGGAGAGAAGUAUGCGGAAUGCGUGGUGUAGCGGUGAAAUGCAUAGAUAUCACGCAGAACUCCGAUUGCGAAGGCAGCAUACCGGCGCCCGACUGACGCUGAGGCACGAAAGCGUGGGGAUCGAACAGGAUUAGAUACCCUGGUAGUC